UAUAUGCUAUAAGUUCACCACUAAACCCUAAAGCUCAUAUCCUCCCUCUCUCUCUCUCUCUCUCUCUCUCUCUCUCUCCAAAGUUACAGUGAAGUUUCGAGUAGCGAGUUAGGAGGUUUGCUUCAUAUCUCACUUUCUGCUUCUAUUCUUCUUCUGUUAGAGUAGAUCUGGUCUUUACUUUUUUCUUUUUUUCUUAUUUUUGCCUGCAAAUGGUUGUGUUGCCUCUUUGAGUAGCCAUAUGAGCACAUCUUAUGUCAUCUGGCUUAGUUACGAGGCAGAGAUUGAGAGAUUGAUUUGAUCAUUUCAAUUUGAUCUUCUGAGAGGCCUUUUUUGAGGGGACUGUUUUGAAUGAUUUUCCAUCAACUUUCCUCCAAGGUUCCAUAGACACAUUUCAGUAUAAUCAUAAUCAUUUUCUUCUUCUGUGCUAGAUUGUAAGUCUAGAUAAUUGCCCUCGAAUAACCGGAGAUGAAAACUGCUUAGCAACCUUCGGUUCAGACAGGGGCGAACAGUAAGGGAGAGGUAUAUGCGUGGUUUAUUAAACCUGCUCUAUACAGCUCCUUCCCGAAUCAAUUUAAUGGAAAUUUAAUGUUGAAAUUUGGGGAAUCUUACUUACCUUCAGGUUUUUUGGAUUUGAGAGCUCAUACUCAAUUUUUUUUUGGUGAUAAUUUGAUUUACUAACCUUAUUGUUGUUUUUCUGCUAUGAAAAUUCAUAUGUGAUGUAGGGAUAGUUCAACUUGUUUGGGUAAAGAAAUUUUUUGUUGAACAAUAUAAAAUAUCUAUUGGUAUUAUAUAAUUGAACUCUCCUUUAGUUCCCUCUCUCCUCCAUCCUCAUUUGAUUAUGUAUACGAUUCAUGAUUCAGUAUCUCGCCUUGUCGCCGUGUACAUUUUACAUCUUUCCCUAAACAAGUGGUUUACAUCAUUAAAUAAGGAGAGAGGAGAAAGGUUAUUUGAGUAGUUGGAUAUAAGUCUUAAUAAAAUAACAAACAUUAGAGACGGUUAUAUGAUUGACUAUGUGCAUUUUUCCUUCAUAGCUUAUUCUCUUGUAUAAUGAUCGUGGGUCUCCUUAUAUACGGUUUAACAUCCCUUGAAACCUCUCUUAUCUGUAGUGUAUAUGAUUGCAAUAUAAGUGGUUGUGGUUGAUUGUUCA